CACCGCCUGGGGAGUACGACCGCAAGGUUAAAACUCAAAUGAAUUGACGGGGACCCGCACAAGUAGUGGAGCAUGUGGUUUAAUUCGAAGAUACGCGCAGAACCUUACCAACACUUGACAUGUUCGUCGCGACUCUAAGAGAUUAGAGUUUUCGGUUCGGCCGGACGAAACACAGGUGCUGCAUGGCUGUCGUCAGCUCGUGUCGUGAGAUGUUGGGUUAAGUCCCGCAACGAGCGCAACCCUCACUUUUAGUUGCCAUCAUUUAGUUGGGCACUCUGAAAGAACUGCCAGUGAUAAGCUGGAGGAAGGUGGGGAUGACGUCAAGUCCUCAUGGCCCUUACGUGUUGGGCUACACACGUGCUACAAUGGUAUCUACAACAGGAAGCAAGACUGCGAGGUCAAGCAAAUCCCUAAAAGAUACCUCAGUUCGGAUUGCACUCUGCAACUCGAGUGCAUGAAGCUGGAAUUACUAGUAAUCGUGGAUCAGCGUGCCACGGUGAAUGCGUUCCCGGGUCUUGUACACACCGCCCGUCACACCAUGGGAGUUGGUUCUACCUUAAGGCAAGGUUUAAAACCCUUGACCACGGUAUAGUCAGCGACUGGGGUGAAGUCGUAACAAGGUAGCCGUAGGGGAACCUGCGGCUGGAUUACCUCCUUUCUAAGGAUGAAUGAAAGUAAAAUUUCAUUCUAAAUAAUACACAGGUAAUGUUGACCGUCCUCAUUUCUCUUCUUAAGGUUAGUGUUUCUCUUGCAUGGGGGCCGGUAGCUCAGUUGGUUAGAGCACACCCUUGAUAAGGGUGGGGUCGAAAGUUCGAGUCUUUCUCGGCCCACCAAAAAUAGAUCAUGGGGGAUUAGCUCAGCUGGGAGAGCGCCUGAUUUGCAUUCAGGAGGUCAGCGGUUCGAUCCCGCUAUCCUCCACCAAACACUUAGUUAUGAAAAAUUGUAAAUAAAUAAAUAAAAUUAAUAUCAAUAUCUAUAUCCGAAUAUUAGAAAUGUUAUUAGCUAAUAUUCAUAUAAAAAUUUGAUUCAACACAGAAUUUUUUUCUG
rnacentral:sRNA from 1 species